ensembl:misc_RNA 7SK 7SK RNA
UGAUAUAAGGGCGAUCUGGCUGUGACAUCUGCCACCCCAUUGAUCGCCAGGGUUGAUUUAGCUGAUCUGACUGGUUAGGUGGGUAUCCCCUUCCUCCCUCACUGCUCCAUUUGUGUGCCUCCCCAGUUCGUGCUGGGUCAUAGAGGAGGACUGUUCUUUGGUCAAGGUAUAUGAGUAGAUGCGCUCCCCUGCUAGAAACUCCAAAUAAACUCUCAAAUUAGUUUGUGCUAUUACUAUAAGUGUAUAUUAAACACUGAAUAUUGAAGACAAUAUUAAAAAAGUAAAAUAUAUCAUUGAUAAUUU